AGCGAACGCUGGCGGCAGGCCUAACACAUGCAAGUCGAGCGCCCAGCAAUGGGAGCGGCAGACGGGAUAGUAACACGUGGGAACGUACCUUUCAGUUCGGAACAACCCAGGGAAACUUGGGCUAAUACCGAAUACGCCCGUAAGGGGAAAGAUUUAUCGCUGAAAGAUCGGCCCGCGUCUGAUUAGCUAGUUGGUGGGGUAAUGGCCCACCAAGGCGACGAUCAGUAGCUGGUCUGAGAGGACGACCAGUCACACUGGAACUGAGACACGGUCCAGACACCUACGGGUGGCAGCAGUCGAG
rnacentral:rRNA from 1 species